AGAAGGAACCUCCGAUGCUGAUGGAGUUAGUGCAGGCUCAGGUGUAUCAUUGGAUGAAUCUGCUGGAGAAGUGGCUGGUGGAAUCGGUGAAUUGGUUGGUGGAGCUGCUAAAGUUGUUGGUGGAGCUGCUGAAGUCGUGGGCGCGGUGGCAGCUUUGCACUGGCUGAUUGGUGGAGUUUGCACUUUGCAAGCACCAGGGAGAGACAGAGCCAGAGUUUGGUUGAUGGUGAUACCCAGCGAAGGGCCAUUGUUAUUGAGCAGCGAGCAAAG
rnacentral:misc_RNA from 1 species